AGCGCUGGGUGAUUAUUCCAGACUCGGGAGAAUGAGUACACUCAGUAGAGAGUAUCCUCCCCAUCAGAGGGCCGGCUCUUUUUGGCUUUUACCCUCCGAGCAUCUCCAGCCCUCACCCCCACUCCCCUACAUAAUCUGUAUCUUGCACACCCUCCCCUCCCACCCCAUGCACCUCACUUUCUAAACUGCUCCUGGACCUCCGGAUCCUGACCACAGGCUUUCUGCUGGAUGCCUCACCUCAGCCCUCAGACUGUGUGCAGCCUUCACUCUUUGCUUCUCUCCGUGUCCAGAAUCCGGAUCUUGCUUGGGCUGGAGGCUUACUGACCUAAGGAGCAUACAUAAGCCAUGAAUAACCAUAAUCGAAGCUUUUUUUUUUUUUUUUUUUUUUUAAGCAUUCUCUGGAUGCCAAGAGCCAUGCUAAGUAUUUCUCAUGCACCAUCAUUGGAUGUUAAGGUCUGUUCUGUGAGCUCAGACUAUCAUCAGCCCCAUUUUGCUGAAGGAAAUCCGAAACUUAGAUGAACGGCCCAGGGGUCACACAGGCAGAGGAUGAGCUGGGACAGCUGAACCGAGGCUGAAUGGGUCCUAAGUCUGAUAAAUUGCAAGAAGAAGGAAGAAAAUGAAAGAAGAGAUUUCUCCAAAGUCAUGUGGAUUGUAAGAGAGAGAAGUUGCAUCUUACAUCCAAAGUUUGUACUCCCAAAAUUGUCCCUGGAACCCUCGUUACUCCAAGUGUGGUCCCUGGACUACCAGCAUUGGAGUCACCUGGGAGCCUGUUAGAAAAGCAUACUCACAAGCUGGCCGCAGACUUGCUGGGUCACGAGCUACGUUUUACAGGACUCUCUGAUGAUUCUCAUGCACGCUAAAGUUUGGAAAGUCCUGCCAUAAUGAGUCCCUUCCCUCCUGACCUUUGUCUCCUCCCCACUGCUUGUGGUGGGGCUGCAGAGCUGGUAGCUUCCCUGUGCGUUUCCAACUCUGUGCUGCGAUGCCCCAAAUGAGCUGGGGUGUAGUAAGCAGUCUUCUGGUCUUUAUGCUCUAAAUUCAAGAGUUUUGGCUUUAAACCUGAAACUUAAAAGGAUCCUAAAUACCAGACCACACAUCCACAUUUGUCUAUCUUCUUCCUGAUAGGUGGCAAAAUACACCAGUUUGCCCAGAAUCGAGAGGUUUCUAAGGACACAGAAAUUGUAGUGCUAAGCUUGGGCAGUCCUGGGCAAACCAGAUGGUUGGCCACUAUAACCUCCUUAUGGCCUCUCAAUCACAUUUAAUUCACUACUUAGCACAGUAAGUCUCAGCCCUGGCCACACCUUAGAAUCACCUGGGAGCUUCAGUGAAAAACAGGUGCCCUCUCACUAACUCAGGUGAAUUAAAUCAGAACUUCUGGAGCUAGAAUAUGGGAACUGGUAUGUUUUUUGUUUUUUUUUUUAAUUCUCUUUGUGAUUUUAAUGCAAGCAGAGUAGAGAGCCCGUGCUCCUGCCGCAAGUUAUUUUUUGCUCUGAGUAGCACAUUUUUCAGACGCAUGAAGAAUUGACUGAAGGAAGGCAAUAGAACUUACUGGAAACUAAGCUUACUGGAUCCAUGCUUCUCUUGCUGGUCAGCACCCAAGUGCUAGGAGCUAUGCUAUCUGUAAAGUAGAAAUUAUUGGUGCCCAUUAUGCAGAUAAGAACAUCGAGGCUCAGAGAAGUUAAGUAACUUGCCCAAGUUCACAUAACUAAGGAAUACUGAACUGUGAUUUCAGGUCUGUUUUCCUUUAUAACCCCAGAAGGUUGCUCUACACACUAUCUCUGAGAUAAAUCUAGAUUUUAACUUUGCUACUGGUCAUGAGAAGACUGGGUGCUUCCCAGCUGUGAAUCAUCUUCUGCAGAGUGGACGAUGGAGGCUCAGAUGUAUGAGUGGACUGUCUUCAUGCUGGAAAUUUCUCCAUCAGGGAUCCUUUCCCCUGAAUCUAUAAGACCCAAGUGGAUCUAGUAAUUUCUCUCCUAGGAGCAUACACAAGAGAAUUGGAAAGAAAUGUCCCCACGGAGACUUGCACACAGAGUUACAUUGCGGCAUUGUUUAUAAUAGCCAUAAUAUGGAAACAACUCAUAUGUCCAUAACUGAUAAAUGGAUAAACAGAACGUGAUCUUGCCAUAUAAUAGAAUAUGAUUUGGCAAUGAAAAGGGAUGAAGUACUGACAUAUGUCACAAAUGGACGAACCUUGAAAACAUUAUGCGAAGGGAGAGAAGCCAGACUAUAUGGUUCUCUUAACUUGAAAUAUCCUGAACAGGCAAAUCCAUAGAGACAAGAAGGAGAUUGGUGUUUGCCAGUGCAGAGGGUGGGCUGGGUGCUGGAGGCAGAAGGGAGGAAUGGGGAGUAAUUGCUAAUGAAUAUGGGGCUUCUUUUGGGGUGACCAGAUGUUGUAGAAUUAGCGGGGAUGGUCAUACCACUCUGGGAGUAUACUAAAACUACUGAACUGUAUUCCUUAAAAGGGUGAAUUUUAGGGUAGAUGAAUUAUAUCUCAAUCUGCUAACUGGAGUGCUCAUUCAUACAUGUUUAGUGGCAGUAUAAAAUGGAGCAACCACUUUAGAAAACCGGCAUUUUCUAUAAGGUUAAGCUUAUACCCACCCUAUGAAACACCUGUUCUAUUCCUAUCUGUAUUCCGCAAAGGAGUGCUUAAGUCCUUGCAAAAAUAUGUACAUGGAUGUUCAUAACAGCUUUAUUUGUAAUAUUUCCACACUGGAGACAACCCAAAUAUCCAUCCACAGGAUACCUGCUGUCCAUAUGAUGGAACAGCACACAGCAGUGAAGGGACCUAGGGUUACCUGCCUACCAAGAACAAAUCUCGCUGAUACUAUGUUGAGUAAAAGAAGCCAGACAAAAGAGCCCAUACUCUAUGAUUGAUUCCAUUUCUCUGAGGUUCAAAAACAUGCAUAACUAAUUGAUGAUCAUAGAAGCCAGCAGAGUAUAGACUGGGAAGAGGCAUGAGGGAGCUUGUUAAGGUGCCAGAGGUGUUAUAUACAUACCUUGAUCUUGAUAGUUGUUGCAUGGGCAUGUACAUAUGAAGAGAUCACUGAGCUGUAUGCAGAAGGUUAGUGCUCUUUGUGUACUUCACCACGUGUACAUCGUACCUAAAAAAUCCAGAAGCUCCUCAACCAACAGUGACCGAGUCCUGAGGCUCCCUGACUGACCCUGAACAUGUAGGCAGUGACCUGAAGAGGAUAGAGACUGUGAAGAUAGAUGGAGCUGGAUUCCAGUUCAGCUCUGCUCCUUACCUAGCCCUAUGAUCUUGGGCAAGUCACAGAACAUUUCUGAUUUAUAAAAUGAGGAAGCACGCCUGCCUAACAGGGAUUGCCUUGAGGCUUAAAGGCAAAAAAUAUAUGUCAAGUCCCCAGCAGGUUCAGCACAAGACAGAACAAUCCCAAGGGGCCAGUUAAUGGUGGCUCAGACAAGACAUCUGCUCUGUCAGAAGGAUACUGAGUCAGAGCCUUCCUGAGGAGAACAGGGACAGGUGAGGAAUACACAUAGCGAGGAGCAGAGAACUUAUGAAACUUGUCCCAGGUCUUCCUGCCCUGUUGAAGAUACCACCAGGACAGACCACAUGGAGAAGGCAAGUAGAAAGAGAGAGACAUGAAAAGAUAGAGGCCCAGUGUCCCAGUACCCAGCUGAGCCCAGCCUUCAAGCUGUCCCCAUAAGGCGCAGCCAUGAGGGUGAGCCAUCUUGGAAAUUCCAGCCCAGCUGAGAUCCUGUAUGACCAUGGCCCUGGCCAACGUCGUGUGGAGCCGAGCCCAGUCAACCCAUGGAAUCAUGAAGGAUCAUAGAUGGUUUUUGUUUUAAGCUUUAGCCAAAACGAGAAGUGGUGGGUUCCAAUAAACACCACCAAAAGCAUGGGACGUUGGCUUCAGGACAGGGCAGUGGGCAGAGGCUCAAAGGGUCUUGAUGAGGUUGUUAUUGGAAUCUGGAAGGGCUGUGAGGAGAUUAUUAUAAAAGGCUGAGGAAAGGAAACAUAAGUUAAGUACUGACAGAACAAUCUAGUUAAGCUGUUCCUUGUAAUGUGGAAAAUAGAAAAUUUAGUUCAUGAACUUGUUGAUUUGGCUAAGAAGAUUCCAAGGCAAAAUGUUGAAAGAGCCAAUGGUUCAUUUUAGCUGAGGUGUGGAGAGAGAGAGAUGAACUAAAGAAAGAACUAUUUGGUAUUCAAGUGACUCUAAAGGAAAAGUUUCUAACCUCCAGCUUGCUGGGCUGGAAAAUAAAACUGUUUCUCAUUCCCACCCCAUGCAGCCCAAUAAAGAUUCUCAAGGAGGGGCACCUGGCUGGUUCAGUUGGUAGAGCAUGCGACUCUUGAUAUCGGGGUUGUGAGUUUGAGCCCCGCAUUGGGUGUGGAGAUUACUAAAAAAUAAAUAAAUAAGCUUUUAAAAAAAGAUUCUCAAAGAAAAUAAAAACCAAAAGGGAGGGAAGGAAUCUGGGGGCAAGAAUCAAAUCUAGGGUGUUGACGGUAAAUGUGGCCUCAGGGUCAAGGUUAGAACAAGGAUGCAGCUAUAAAACCCUAUGUUGAGGCUUCAGAUGGAUUUAAGGGUAUAUCAGGUAGAUCCUCUCAGCUAGAUGAAAGGCUUCUGACAAUCUCUGAAGGAGUUGUCCCCUAGCAGCUUGCAUAUGGCCCAAAGUAGAAAAGCACUAUUUCAAGAAGAAAUAGAAGUCUGGCUUUUGUCUAAUGGAGUAGAUAAUUUGAUACACAGGAAACUCACAAUUUUUAUUUUACUAACUUGGACUGAAAAGAACAGAGACAGUAUAAAACAGAAAAGUAGCCUUUGUGACCCCAGCUUCCUAAGAGCAGAAAACAGGCAAAGGUGGGGUGUUUCUUAUGGAAAAGAAGGAUGACUCUGAUGUGGAGCCAAGAGCCAAACACAGGCAUACCUGGGAGAUAUGGUGGGUUCUGUUCCAGACCACUGUAGUAGAGUGAAUAUCUCAAUAACACGAGUCGAGUGCAUUUUCUGGUUUCCCAGUGCAUAUAAAAGUUAUGUUUAUACAAUACUGUGGUUUUAGGUGUGCAAUAACAUGUCUAAAAAAUGUAUAUUAAUUAAAAAAUGCUUU